rnacentral:lncRNA from 1 species
UUGUAUUUAUUUUUAUGGGUUACACAUUAAUGCAUGUUUGAUCACAAACUGUCAACGUGUCUUAUUCUCACGCUGCUAGUCACGAUUUUAAAUGGUGAAAAGUUCUUUUAUCUCUUUAUUGUUGUACUACCAAAUCAAGGUUUGUUUUGCUUGAGAGUUAAAAUAAAAAUAAAUAAUUCAGAGAUUGAUUUGAUGGUGGGUGACAUAAUUCAGAGACCAUCUUAAUUUUUAAUGAAUAAUUCGGAGAUCAAUUUGACAAUGUAGCGAUUUGUAAUGACUUUCCU